rnacentral:rRNA from 1 species
AACGAACGCUGGCGGCAUGCCUAACACAUGCAAGUCGAACGAGACCUUCGGGUCUGGUGGCGCAAGGGUGCGUAACGCGGGGGAACAUGCCCUUAGGUUCGGAAUAACGCGCCGAAAGGGGUGCUAAUACCGGAUAAUAUCUUGGGACCAAAGAUUGAUCGCCUGUGGAUGGGCCCGAGUGGGAUUAGCGAGGUGGUAGGGUAAAAGCCUACCAAGGGGUCGAGACAUAGCUGGUCUGAGAGGAUGAGCAGCCACACUGGGACUGAGACACGGCCCAGACUCAUACGGGAGGCAGGAGUGGCGAAUACUGGACAACGGGGGAAAGCCUGAUCGAGCAAGGAUGCGUGAGUGAUGAAGGUCGUAGGGUUGGAAAGUUCGUUUAUCCGGGAUGAUAAUGACGUUACCGGGAGAAUAAGCACCGGCUAACUCCGUG